UAAUAUGUGAGACUAAAAAGAAUAAAAAUAUGAACCUUAAUAUAGAAAAUGAAAAAAUGUCCCUAGAAUCUAAGGGAUGAGAAAGUUGAUGGCAGGAAGCUUCAGACACACUUAUAUCAACUAGAGUUUCUUAAGUGUAUCAUUUUAAGAUACUAAUGCUAAGUAGAAUUUUCAUAUCUCUAUUCUAAUGGUCAAGAUAAUUAAAUCUAAAUGACAUGUCUAACUUAGAUUUAGAUGGACAUUUGAAAUAUAAUUGAUCUCAAAGGGAUAUUAUUGUAAGUUCACCCACAAAAAAGCACAAAUUUUGGGUACAUUUCAUUUUUUAUGCCUCUCGAGCUCACGAAGAACAAGGAGAGCUACCAACGGAGACUUGGCGCAGUGGUGGCGGCGGCAAGUGAGGGAUCGAGGAAAUAACUGGAAGCAACGAGGGUUACAGAGACGGCAGGUGGAUCCGCGCACACUAUUCGAGGCCGUGCAAGAUGAAGCGGAGGGUCCUCGUCGCGCUCCUCGCCCUCGCCGUCGUUCUUCUCGUCUUCUCCGUCGUUCACAAGGAGGUAGGAUUGUUAUUGGACUCUAUGGAGAAGUAGCGCCAAAAAUUGUUGUGGAUAGUGCAGAAAAUUUUAAAGCUCUCUGCACAGAGGUAAAAAGGGCAACAGAAUUGGUGUAAGAAAUUAUCACUACAAGGGUACAAAAUUUCAUCGCGUAGUUUCCGGUUUUAUGAUACAAGGUGGCGAUAUCACUAACAGUAAUGGCAGGAGCAGUGAAUCUAUCAUGGUGGCACCUUUCCUGAUGAGAACUUCACCAUAAAGCAUUCACGUGCAGGAAUUGUUUCAAUGGUGAACAGGGGGGCCUGAUACCAAUGGAUCCCCGUUCUUCAUCACCACAGUUAAGGCUAGCUGAUGGGGAGCAUGUUGCCUUUGGAAGGGUUAUUCAAGGUACGGAUACGUUCUUUGCAACUGAUGGAGGAGCAGGAACAUACAUACAAUGGGAAGCCGAGGAAGAAGGUUGUCAUCGUCGACACAGGAGAGAUACCAAAGCACCGAUGGGAUGAAGAAAUCAGCCGCUUUUGCUUCCUUGCCACCCCAUGCUGUUGCUGCAAGAGAAGUAGGAGUUUGUGGUUCUUGAGGGCUAAGGCUACACCACCACAUUGCUCGUGUAAACCUUGUUAAUGUGCCUUUGAAGUCAUCACUUAACCAAAUCCGGUCUUAACCCUUUCGCUUCACUUGGUUGCCUAUAGAAAUUUGAGCUUCACAAAAA